GGGAUGUUAGUUCAGUUGGUAGAACAAUCGGCUGUUAACCGAUAUGUCACAGGUUCGAGUCCUGCACGUCCCG
rnacentral:tRNA from 1 species